GAUGAACGCUAGCUACAGGCUUAACACAUGCAAGUCGAGGGACCGGCGCACGGGUGAGUAACACGUAUCCAACCUGCCCUUUACUCGGGGAUAGCCUUUCGAAAGAAAGAUUAAUACCCGAUAUAAAGGAUGGGGAUGCGUUCCAUUAGGUUGUUGGUGAGGUAACGGCUCACCAAGCCUUCGAUGGAUAUGGGUUCUGAGUGGAAGGGACCCCACAUUGGAACUGAGACACGGACCAAUCUCCUACGCGAGGCAGGAGUAAGGAAUAUUGGGCAAUGAGCGCUAGCCUGAACCAGCCGAGUAGCGUGAAGGAUGAAGGCUUAUGGGUCGUAAACUUCUUUUAUAUAAGAAUAUGUAUUAUAUGAAUAAGGAUCGGCUAACUCCGUGCCAGCAGCCGCGGUAAUUC
rnacentral:rRNA from 1 species